rnacentral:lncRNA from 1 species
UCUUGGCCUCAAGCGAUUCUCCCAUGUUGGCCUGCCAAAGCACUGGGAUUACAAGUGUGAGCCACAGGGUUUAUCUUUGACUCAUAUAUCCCAGACUUAGAGCUAAAGAAGCCAGCAACCCAGAAAUGCCGAUGGAAAUAUACAAAUGAGGCCCCCAUAAAAGUCUGUUCUCUUUAGCCAAAGGAGCAGGAAAAGGGCAACUUAACAAAACGUAAAACUUUUAGACAAUAACUGUUCUAACUAAAGCAAAUACCACAGAGAAAAACUGUAGCUCCACCUCCCCAACCAUGCCGGCAAAGGCUAAGGGAAGCCUAGAAUUCCACCCUCAUAAGGCUGUCAUGAGGAAUCCCAACACCACUGCCAGGGUGAUGUCACAGAAGGCCAAGUAGGAACUGGAACUUUCAUCCCAGCCAACCAGUAAUGAGCAUCCUCCUCCCACAAUGAUAUCAGUGGAGAUCACAUGGGAGUCAGAACCCUCUUUCCAGCAGUAACAGCUGAAGCUAACGGUUGUUGAACUGAUCUUAGAGUCAAAACUGUCUUCCACAAGCCACCAUACAAUACUUGAUUUAUCUACAACCUAAUCCCUAGAAGACAAACUUCAGCACUAUGGCCCAGGAACAAGGGACACAGGCCUAGUUCUGCCAGAAACCAACGAGGGAAAGGCUGAGCCCUGCACAAACAUCCGCUGGUGGGGCCCAUAGCCCAGGUGUAUGUGCAGGGCAUGCAGAGGGGACAACUGCCUGUUUUCUCCACUCACCAUGGCCUACCCACUGGCAGUCACAUAGGCCUGCCUCAGCAUCUGAGACCAUGGUGUGGCCACAGCCUUCGCCACCUUGGGAAGCCACCCUGGGAAGCUGAACUCCCCAUCCACCUCAGAAUCCAUCUUUGCUGUGAAAGAGAAGCCCAGCUUUUCCUGAAGUUUAUUUAAUCUGGCACUAAUACAUCCAUGUUAGCCAUCGUAUCAUUACUGUUUGGAUGCUAUAUCUUUUUGCAUACAAUUGCUUUUGAUCUAUCUGUGUCUUUAUUUUUAAAGUAUAUCUCUUGGUAUUUUUUAAAUUUGUUCUGAUAAUCUCUACCUUUUAAUUGGAAUGUUCAUUAACAUUUAAUAUUUAGGUCCAUGAUUUUAUUAUUUGUUUUCCUUCUGUCCCUUCUUUUACUUUUUGCCUACAUUUUUUGGAUUAUUUGAAUACAUUUUAAAAUUCCUUUUUAAUUUAAUCUAUCAGCCUUUAUUUUAGUUGUUGUUCUAUGAUUACAAUAUACAUCCUUAGCUUUUCAUGCUCUACUUAGAAUAUCAUAUCACUUCAAAAAAAUGUAGAAACACUGCAUUCGUAUAGAACCAACUAAACAUCCCCCUUUCUGCUACUGGUGUCACAUGUAUCACAUCUACAUACACUAUAAACUCUAUAAGACAACACUAUAGUUUUAUGUAAAACA